rnacentral:tRNA from 1 species
UUCCCAUCGUCUAGUGGUAGGACUUUUGACUUUCUAUCAAAAAACCUCGGUUCGAAUCCGGGUGGGAACGC